GCCACUUCUGUACAGCGAAAGGCUGGUCACAUGAUAAGGUCAUAGUUCAAACGUUCCGGCCAUUCACUGUAUGAGUGUAUUGUUUGUAUGACUGUACAGCAGACUAUCCCAGAAUUUGUUUGUCUCGAUCAGAUUAAAGAAUAUCGGUUGUGGAGGUUUGUUUAGAACUGGACUUGAAAUCGACAGUGUGAACAGACAGACGUAUAAAAAUGGCUAACUGUGGUUGGUUAUGGAGUAUAAUAUGGUUUAUUAUCCUAAUUAUCUUCGGCUUUCCGAUCGGAUUUUUCUGUGCUAUUCUUUUCGUUUUAAUUAGUCCUUUUGCUGCCUGUUGUCAUGGAUGCAUGGAGCUCGUUAAUUUAUUAGAACGAGGUUUAAAAUUACCGUUAACAUGCUCACAGAAUAUGGUUAUGGGAAAAUCCAUGUGUUAAAUCUAAUCAUUAUUGAACUUAGCAAUUUAAAGAGGGCGUACGUUCCAGUUUGUUUUUGCUCCGUGGUCUUUUGACUCUUCAUAUUAACCAAUCCAGCUACCAUAAACAUUUUUAUUAUAUUUUAAACUGGGGUUGCCAGGAAAUCUUCUUCUACUUCUUGUGCUGUGGCUCUUCCAAAAAGCUCCAAGCAGUUAAAUCUUGGCAAGCUGGGACAAUUGCAUUUGGAUUUGUGGACUUCAAUUUUUGAUAUUAUGUCAAUAUUUCAAGAUGGCUGCAUUAACUUCAUGCUUGGUUCCUGGCUCAUGGUUAGGUCUAAAUAUUAAGGCCAACUGCAGAUUUGGUCAAAGGACACAGGAUGUAAACAAGGCUAGUGUAACCCUAACCUACAAUCUCGUCAACAAUCACAUGCCCUAACCUUAUUUACAUCUCAUGACCUUAUGGAAAUCUGCAAUUGGCCUUAAUAUUUAGACCUGACCCUGACACAUAUAGUACUUGUUUUGGUCUGAAUUGAAUUCAGUUAUUUUUUUAUGUAAAUUCUCCAUCUUUUAUAACUAUUAUGGGAGGAAGAAAUUAAUUUAAUUGUUUUAGUAUUUCACAUAUUUUGUAAUUUGUUCUUCUUGUAAAAUUGGGUUCCUUAAUCAUCUGUUCCCAGAGUUUCAAUUUAGCAAGUUAUUCAUGAUAUAUAAUGUUGUUUGUUUUCAGUAUAUGUUUUUAUAUAAUGAUUGUUUAUAUUAAUGAUUAUUUAUAUUAAUGAUUAUUUAUAUUAAUGAUUGUUUAUAUUAAUGAUUAUUUAUAUUAAUGAUUAUUUAUAUUAAUGUGGUCUUCCACCUGUUUUAAUAAAUAAAUCAUUAUACUUUAUAUCAUUCAAUUGUUUAAGUUUUUAGAAAAUACAUUACUAAAUCUAUAUCAUUCGAUUGUUUAAGUUUUGGUAUUCCAAGAUGGCCGCUCUGAUUAUUAUGAAUGAAUGAAUUCCAUUUUGUUUUAUUGCAAUUUAUUACACUGCAUAAUAUUUUAUUGUCAUUUUAUUUCCAUCAUCAGUCAACAUGAGAUACAUUUUGUAUACCAGUAAUUUUAUUUCCAUCAUCAGUCAACAUGAGAUACAUUUUGUAUACCAGUAAUUUUAUUUCCAUCAUCAGUCAACAUGAGAUACAUUUUGUAUACCAGUAAUUUUAUAUGUAUGUCCUUUUAGUCUUUUAUUAUUUCAUGAAUUUUAGACGAGGAACUAGUCGUUAACCUCUACUCAUCUUGUCGUUCUUAAGGCUCCAAUAAUUCAUGCUUCUUUUUUGAAUAAAUCUGCAUCAGUUUGGUGAAUUAGUUUUUUGAAUUUCAUCCUACAACAUGGUCAGUACCUGGUCCAUAGUAUGAUCGUACUUGUUAAAACGUUGAAAAAUUCUUCUUUUAAUACGUAAGAGGUGAGAAUAAGUAUAUUAAUAAAUAAAAUCAGUCAUGAGGGUAGAUGUUUAAAUUGUUCAUUAAAAUGUCGUGAGGGUAGAUGGUUAAAUUGUUCAGUAAUUAUUAUAGAUGUUAACAGUAGGUCUACUUUAGAUGUAAGUUUAAAUUCUAUAUGCAAGUCUCAUACCAGAGGCCUAGUGUAGGGUGACUGAUGAUUAGCUCUGAAUGCAAGUCUCAUUUCAGAGACCUAGUGUAAGGUGACUUAUGUUUAGCAAGUCUCAUUCCAAAGACCUAGUGUAGGGUGACUUAUGUUUAUAUUAUUGGUUGAAGCCUGAUUGUAUUUUGAGGUCCGAGUCGCGAGGGUUCAGUGAGUAAGACGUUGGCUCACUUAACAGGAGGUUCAGGGGUUUGAUCCAAGAAAGGUUUCAGGGGUUUUCCAGCAUUGCUUCCCCUUGUCAGGGGUGUAGGACACAGGACCUAGCAAGGAUGGCUUCUAGUCAUUAGGAUGGGACGAAAAAACUAAGUUCUGUGUAUACGUUGGUGUGUACGUACAAGAACCCUUGACAGUUGCAAUCCGAUAUAAAAGUAGGCCUUGGCGCCACUGUACGGGCAAAAUUUCUCUCAUAGCACACUACAUGGUGUAUGCUCGUCUUUGUUAUCCCAGUCGGUACAGAAAAGUAGGAUGUUAAACCCCAUUUCAUUGCAUAUUAUGAUAUGAUAGGUUUACAGCUCCUUACACUACAUUUUAACCAUAUUAGGAAGUCGUAAUAAAAAUAAUCACAAUAAUACUAAGGAAGACAAUUAGUGUUUUAUUUCUACAAUGAUUCUAUUGUAUUUAUCAAGUAUAAUACUUGAUUACUGUAGAAAAAUAGCUCUCAAUACCGUACAAUAAUUCUAUUGUGUUAUCAAGUAUAAUACUUGAUUACUGUAGAAAGAUACAAUGUGGAAACAGUUCAUAUUUUUAAUGUCUUUUAAAAACUUACUUUUUUUUUGCCCAGCUCUUUAAAUUAAUGUUUCUUUUAACUCCAUUUUUUAGUUCUUAAUUGUUAUUUUUGUGUUUUUGAUCUCAUUUAUUUUGUGCAUGAGGGUUGAUAAAGCGCUAUAGGUCUUCGUAAUAAUCAUAAUUGUUUUCCAUAGAAAUGUUGUGAUUAUUUUGUUUGUGCUGAGUAACUAAAUGCUACUUGAUUAUUACGUCAUAAUAAAGGUAACGAUCAUUGGAAAUUAUGUAUACCAUGAAGAUAUAUAUAUAACACCUAUUGUGUAAUAGGGGUAGUGUAACUGAAAUGGUGGUUAGAAUUAAAGGGUCUACUGACAUCCAAAAUAAACUAUAAGAUAUUUAAAUUCUAUUAUAUAAUUUGGAUUAUAUUAAGUAAACCAUUGAUUAAAUAUGUUACCUAAAUACAACAACUAUGUCUUACAACUGACAAAAUAUUUUUGAAAUUAUAUAUUUAUAUCUAGAUAUUUUGGAUUUUAAUCACCAUUGAAAAGGCAAACCAAAAUAUGGAGAAACGCUGCUAAAAAUAGCAAAGUUCGACAAGCAGAAAAUAUUUAUUUUUUCAACAUUCUCUCGAAAUCUUAGUUUCUUUUGGAUGUCAGAAAAACUGCAGAUAUAUUCAGGAAUCUAUUGCAUAUGUCCGCUAUAUACAACCAAUGUGUCCGAGAGUCGGGUGUCCGCCAACCUUUUGACAUACAUUGGUUUUUAUUCAAAAAUAUGCAGCUUUUUUUAGUUCGUUCUGGACAUCCGAAUAAAUGGAAAUAUUUCAGUCUUUAUGUAUCUAUUAUAUUUACAUGUAGUCACUAUAUAGUCUUAUAAAACAAUGUAUUGUAGUACAGAAGUCACUAGCUUUUUAUAUAACCGGGUAUAUAUUUUAGUACAGUAUAACUAUCGGUAGUAUAUAGAUAUAUUGUAAUCACUAGCUUGUUAUAUAACCAGUAUAUAUUGUAGUACAGUUGCUUGUUAUUCAUGAUUAUAUUCUGCUUUAUGUAUAACUAAGCAAUAAUCGGGGUCAGAUUAAGCUUAUAUAGGGCCCCAGACUGAAAAUAUCACCAUGGCCCUAGCAUCAACUGUGAAAAGGAGUGGGUGGGGUAAUAUACAAUGUGUAUGUCAGUAUGGUAGAUAGAUUUAUUUGGCACAAAUACCGUACAACUUAAUAAAUAAAAUCAUAAAUUGUAUGCUUGAUAUACAGAAAAUUGGGACUCCUUUAAUAAUGGGGCCCUCUGGAUGCAGUCCAGGUUAGCACCCCUCUUUAUCCGGCCCUGGAAAUGAUAUAUAUAUAUAUAUAUAUACCUCUAUCUAUGUGCCUGUUUUUAUUAAUUAUUAUGAUUGCCUUAAUUUAAUUUAACCCUUUGGCACCUGGUUCAUGUAAAUAUCAUUGAUGAUAUUGAGAGGACCUGAAGAAAACCCACGAGGAUGGACAAGCGACCCUACUCCUUGUCACGUACAACCGGGGAAUUGAAACCACACCAGUUGACUCAAUGACAGACCUUAUGAUCUAAAGCGCAUGCGUUAAACUAUUCGGCCACCCAAUGCCUCCUUCUUAAAUAGGUCACAUGACUGACAGUUUAAGGCCUAGAGAGAGAAGGAGCUCCAGGUGUUCUAAAGGGUUAAUAAAUAAAGUUAUGUAAAUAUUCUCAAAUAGAUCUUAUAGGCCCGUGUGUGGUGGUGCCAACUAAUGCAAACUAGCGUACAAAUAUUUUGUUUGGAUAUUUUCUAGUGAUUUUUUGAAAUAAAUAAAUAUGAUAAAGUCAACUAAAUAGUGCAAUUGUCACAUUAGAAUUUAUACUAAUAUUUGUGACGUUUGUUUGUCUGUCUGUCUGUUCAUGGUUGGUGUCUACACUAAGGCUGUCCUGAGGGAUAGCUCGGACUGGGGAGUAACACAGGCCUGGUAGUGAUGGCCUACUACUUCUAGUAUGUGAAAGUUAUGCUACUUUGGGUUCAACACUGGGUCAUCAUAAAUACGUUCAUCCAAUGUUUCUUUAGGUUGGUGUCGGGUGGUAUAGCUAUAAUUUCUCAUUAUAGACACACCCUAAUAUUUCUCUCAAAGAGUAGGGACAGGAAGGCAGGAAGGCUACCAAUCUAAUAUUUCCUGAUUGAAUAUUGUCACUAUAACAUAAUCUGUAAUAAAAGUGAAUAUAUUGAAAUUUUACCUGAUUGUUACCUGUUAAUUAAAUGCUUCUUUCUCUAUAUGUAGUCUGUAUUUUAUGUUUACAUAUAUUUAAAAAUAUUUAACAUGGAAUUAAAUUUUGGAAUGUA